CAGUAAUCUUCACCUGUAAGAGUGGUGCUUGGCACAGGUAAAGAUGAGAGAAGAGAGAAAUUUGGUCCCUCUUUACCCACCCACUCUCUCGUUUCUUUUCUUCUUUUUUCUCUCAUCUUUUAUCUGUGCUCAGCAUUUUUCUUCGAUAAAAGGCCUCUUAAUCUCUCUGUCUAGUUAAUAAUGAUUAUAAUUGCUCCCUUUAGCUUCUUUUUUUUUUAAUUAAUAUUUAUUUUACCGAUUAAUCUAGCUGCUAUGAUGCCGUGCUAUGUCGAUUAAUUCGUAAACUGGAUUUUUUUUAAUUAUUAUGGUUUAUCUUGACAUGGUGAUAUGCUUGCUAUUAUUUAUAAGCUUUUCAUUAGCUGUAAUUUUUUUUAGGCGAUAGCUUAUUAGUUGUUUGAGGUUAUAAUGAUGGCGAUUUAAAACUCAAGUCAGCCUCGUUGAUUCUAUUUAGGAUUUUGAUUUGAUGGUGUUACAGUGCUCUCCCGGAGAUAGUUUUGAAUUUUUUUUGGUGUUAAUUAUAGGCAUAUCUUGCAAUUCUAUAAGAUUUGUGGAAAAAAUUAAUUUAAAAUAAAAAAGAAAAGGAUAUGCCCAAAUCUUUACUUAUGAAUGAUCGUCACCAUCGUUUUUGCUGAACUAUGUACAAUAUUUGGAUCAAGCAAUGGUUAAUUGAUGGUAUUAGUGGGUCAACUAAUUUCCCUUAUUGUUGGUUUAAGUGCUGUCCUUUAAUCUGAGGAAAUGUUUGUCACUAUUGACUUAUAACCUAGUUUCGUAGCUAAAACUUAAUAUUCUUUUGUUUCCACUUACGAAAAUUGAAGAAAAAUGAAAAUAUAUAUAUAUAUAUAUGAAGCUUAACUGCUGUCCUUUACCGCUCUUUAUUAGUCUAAUACACGCUCACAGCAUCACCUAAGACUUUACUCAACACAGCAAAUGGGGAUUCUUAAACUAAUUACAGUCAAGCCAUGGAGCUCUUGCUUGUUACUUGGUGUCUUGUUCAUCUUUGCUUUCAUGGCUUCUCUUUCUCAUGCAGAAAUUCAAUUCCAUGAGUUUGUUGUACAUACUAAUUUAAUUUCUCAUUCCUUAUUAAUCAUAUCAUUCUUGGUGGUCGUUCAAUGAGAUGCAGCUUCGGCUUCUCUUGGUGGUUGAUUUGAUUUUCAGCAGGAUGAUUGUUGGAGGAGAUGCGGCUUCCGCUUCUCUUCGUCAAUGUUGUGGGUUUCCUUAUGCGAGGGAUUUACUGUAAUUGUAAAACGAGUGUGUUUGAUCCAUUUUAAAACUAAAAAUAAACAAAACCGAUAAACUAUGAUUGCCGUACUUGAAUGCUUUGGGCUGAUUAAUCUUGCUGAAUAAAUGCUUGAACCUCUACAAAGAAUGUAUAACUUACUAACAAG
rnacentral:lncRNA from 1 species